UGAGUACGAGAUGCUACGGCAUCGAAGCAGUCUAUGUCAUACUUCCAGGAAAAGCUUGCAAUGUCAUAAACAAAUAAUGCCUGUACCAUAACCGACACAGGUGGGUAGGUAGAGUAUACUAAGGGGCGCGAGAUAACUCUCUCUAAGGAACUCGGCAAAAUGACUCCGUAACUUCGGGAGAAGGAGUGCCUUAUUUUUAUAAGGUUGCAAUAACAAGAUCCAAGCAACUGUUUACCAAAAACACAGGUCUCCGCUAAGUCGUAAGACGAUGUAUGGGGGCUGACGCCUGCCCAGUGCCAGAAGGUUAAAGAAGUUGGUUAGCAUUAGCGAAGCUGAUAACUGAAGCCCUGGUGAACGGCGGCCGUAACGAUAACGGUCCUAAGGUAGCGAAAUUCCUUGUCGGGUAAGUUCCGACCCGCACGAAAGGCGUAAUGAUUUGGAUACUGUCUCGGAGAGGGGCUCGGUGAAAUAGACUUGUCUGUGAAGAUGCGGACUACCUGCACCUGGACAGAAAGACCCUAUGAAGCUUUACUGUAACUUGAGAUUGAAAUUGGACUUUAUCUGCGCAGUAUAGGUGGGAGACGUUGAAAAUAUUCUUGCGGGAAUAUUGGAGUCAUCAGUGAGAUACCACUCUUAUAAUGUUAGAUUUCUAACUUUGUAUCAUUAUCUGGUCAAAGAACAGUUUCAGGCGGGCAGUUUGACUGGGGCGGUCGCCUCCCAAACGGUAACGGAGGCGCACAAAGGUUUCCUCUGAACGUGUAGAAAUCGUAUCUAGAGUGUAAAGGCAUAAGGAAGCUUGACUGUGAGACCUACAAGUCGAGCAGGGACGAAAGUCGGUCUUAGUGAUCUGACGGUGCUGAGUGGAAAGGCCGUCACUCAACGGAUAAAAGUUACUCUAGGAUAACAGGCUGAUCUCCCCCAAGAGUUCACAUCGACGGGGAGGUUUGGCACCUCGAUGUCGGCUCAUCGCAUCCUGGGGCGGUAGUACGUCCCAAGGGUUGGGCUGUUCGCCCAUGAAAGCGGUACGCGAGCUGGGUUCAGAACGUCGUGAGACAGUUCGGUCCAUAUCCGGUGUAGGCGUUAGAAUAUUGAGAGGAGCCUUCUUUAGUACGAGAGGACCGAGAAGGACAUACCUCUGGUGUACCAGUUAUCGUGCCAACGGUAAACGCUGGGUAGCCAUGUAUGGAGAGGAUAACCGCUGAAAGCAUCUAAGUGGGAAGCCCACCUCAAGAUAAG
rnacentral:rRNA from 1 species